GAUAUAUUCCUCCGUCCUAAAAUUCUUGUCUUAAAUUUGUUUAUAAAUACAUUUAUAUAAAUACUAAAAUAUGACUACAUACAUUCAUAUCUACGCAAAUGUAAGACAAGAAUUUUAGGACGGACGGAGUAUAUG
rfam:Hordeum vulgare subsp. vulgare, WGS project CAJW01000000 data, contig: morex_contig_76834